rnacentral:lncRNA from 1 species
UCCAGAUUAUCAAAUUGAAGUUUUCAGUGAAAUCGACAAAUUAAGCAAGGUAGAAUAAGCACCCAAAAAGUACAUUAAAUUUGACCUUAUUCAUUGCCAAAUGAGAUGAGUAGUACUCUUGUGCAUUAUGGACCAUGCAUUCUUAUAUAUUUGCAACCUCUCCUACCUUUAUUGCAAAAUUAAUCAAAUUUUUGGCCAACAUGCAACCUAAUUACAUGAGAAAGUGGGUGGGGUGGGAAAAAAGGAAACUUGUCAAAAAGAAGGUAAGAAGAUAUGCAGCCACCUAAACAGAAAAGGCAUAAACAAAAUAAAUGAAACAGUAAAAAGUAAAUAUCAGUGAAUCUCCACAAAUAAGGAGAAGCCCCAACAAGCUGAAUGGCUGAUGAAUAAUCAAACAUAUAAUUAAUUAAUACCUUCUCUGAGAGCUAUUAUUGGCUCCAGCUGCUUUCCCAGAAGCAGAAGCAGAAGCAUGUGCUGUUGGAGGUCCACUCCCCUUUCUCUCAUGGCUCUGCUGCUGCUGCUGCUGCUGCUGAAAAUCUAGAGAGAGAGAGAGAGAGAGAGAACAAAAACAACAUCAAAAGAAAGAAACAAAACCCACAAAAUAGAUCUUAAAACUAGCAGUAAUACCUUGUAAAAACCCUCUCUUGGAACCAAAGCAUGGGAUUGAGCCAUUACUCUUAGCAACCUUAGAGAGAGAGAGAAGAGAGGGUUCCUCUCUCUUCUCCUUCCUCUCUGCCACCCAGUACUCUUC